rnacentral:rRNA from 1 species
AGAGUUUGAUCCUGGCUCAGAUUGAACGCUGGCGGCAUGCCUUACACAUGCAAGUCGAACGCGAAAGUAGGGGCAACCCUGCGAGUAGAGUGGCGAACGGGUGAGUAAUACAUCGGAACGUACCCAGGAGUGGGGGACAACCUCGAGAAAUCGAGGCUAAUACCGCAUACGUCCUGAGGGAGAAAGCGGGGGAUUCGCAAGGACCUCGCGCUCAUGGAGCGGCCGAUGUCGGAUUAGCUAGUUGGCGGGGUAAAGGCCCACCAAGGCUACGAUCCGUAGCUGGUUUGAGAGAACGACCAGCCACACUGGGACUGAGACACGGCCCAGACUCCUACGGGGGGCAGCAGUGGGGAAUUUUGGACAAUGGGGGAAACCCUGAUCCAGCCAUGCCGCGUGAGUGAAGAAGGCCUUCGGGUU